GAUGAACGCUGGCGGCGUGCCUAAUACAUGCAAGUCGAGUGAAUGGAUUAAGAGCUUGCUCUUAUGAAGUUAGCGGCGGACGGGUGAGUAACACGUGGGUAACCCGCCCAUAAGACUGGGAUAACUCCGGGAAACCGGGGCUAAUACCGGAUAACAUUUUGAACCGCAUGGUUCGAAAUUGAAAGGCGGCUUCGGCUGUCACUUAUGGAUGGACCCGCGUCGCAUUAGCUAGUUGGUGAGGUAACGGCUCACCAAGGCAACGAUGCGUAGCCGACCUGAGAGGGUGAUCGGCCACACUGGGACUGAGACACGGCCCAGACUCCUACGGGAGGCAGCAGUAGGGAAUCUUCCGCAAUGGACGAAAGUCUGACGGAGCAACGCCGCGUGAGUGAUGAAGGCUUUCGGGUCGUAAAACUCUGUUGUUAGGGAAGAACAAGUGCUAGUUGAAUAAGCUGGCACCUUGAUGGUACCUAACCAGAAAGCCACGGCUAACUACGUGCCAGCCGCCGCGGUAA
rnacentral:rRNA from 1 species